rnacentral:rRNA from 1 species
UUCCGUAGGUGAACCUGCGGAAGGAUCAUUACAGAGUUCAUGCCCGAAAGGGUAGACCUCCCACCCUUGUGUAUUAUUACUUUGUUGCUUUGGCGAGCUGCCUUCGGGCCUUGUAUGCUCGCCAGAGAAUACCAAAACUCUUUUUAUUAAUGUCGUCUGAGUACUAUAUAAUAGUUAAAACUUUCAACAACGGAUCUCUUGGUUCUGGCAUCGAUGAAGAACGCAGCGAAAUGCGAUAAGUAAUGUGAAUUGCAGAAUUCAGUGAAUCAUCGAAUCUUUGAACGCACAUUGCGCCCCUUGGUAUUCCGGGGGGCAUGCCUGUUCGAGCGUCAUUUCAACCCUCAAGCUUAGCUUGGUAUUGAGUCUAUGUCAGUAAUGGCAGGCUCUAAAAUCAGUGGCGGCGCCGCUGGGUCCUGAACGUAGUAAUAUCUCUCGUUACAGGUUCUCGGUGUGCUUCUGCCAAAACCCAAAUUUUUCUAUGGUUGACCUCGGAUCAGGUAGGG